rnacentral:rRNA from 1 species
UACGUAGGUGGCGAGCGUUGUCCGGAUUUAUUGGGCGUAAAGGGCGCGUAGGCGGCCACGCACGUCCGUUGUGAAAUCGCCCGGCUCAACUGGGCGGGGUCGGCGGAUACGGCGUGGCUGGAGCAAGCUAGGGGGCAAUGGAAUUCCCGGUGUAGUGGUGGAAUGCGUAGAUAUGCGGAGGAACACCGAUGGCGAAGGCAAUCCCCUGGGCCUGUACUGACGCUCAUGCACGAAAGCGUGGGGAGCAAACAGG